rnacentral:rRNA from 1 species
UACGUAGGGUGCAAGCGUUUGUCCGGAAUCAUUGGGCGUAAAGAGCGUGUAGGCGGCUUGGUAAGUCCGCUGUGAAAGUCCAGGGCUCAACCCUGGAAAGCCGGUGGAAACUGUCAAGCUUGAGUCCGGAAGAGGCGAGUGGAAUUCCUGGUGUAGCGGUGAAAUGCGCAGAUAUCAGGAGGAACACCAAUGGCGAAGGCAGCUCGCUGGGACGGUACUGACGCUGAUGCACGAAAGCUAGGGGGAGCAAACAGG